GCACUAAUGGGCAAAAUUAGCCUAAAACUGGUAUCACUACACUGGGCAUUCAUCAUUCUGUACAAAGGUUCUCCCAGAAACUACAUCAUUAAGGCAAGAUCGCCGUCACAACGUGUUACCACUGAACAGACCUCAUCAGAAAAAAAGUAUUCAUAGCCCAGUAUCUUAACAUUAACAAGAAAAGUCAUCCCCAAGAACUGGAAGAAUCAGACCAC